CACUUAAAUUCAGGUUCCUCCUCAGGCUUGAAGAGAUCUCCAGGAGUGGUGACUCUCAUCUGCUCCAAGAUGAACCCACUGUGGACCCUCCUCUUUGUGCUGUCAGCCCCCAGAGGGGUCCUGUCGCAGGUGCAGCUGCAGGAGUCGGGACCCAGCCUGGUGAAGCCCUCACAGACCCUCUCCCUCACCUGCACGGUCUCUGGAGUCUCAUUAACCAGCUAUGCUGUAGGCUGGGUCCGCCAGGCUCCAGGAAAGGCGCUGGAGUGGCUUGGUAUCAUAUAUAGUGGUGGAAGUACAUACUAUAACUCGGCCCUGAAAUCCCGGCUCAGCAUCACCAGGGACACCUCCAAGAGCCAAGUCUCCCUGUCACUGAGCAGCGUGACAACUGAGGACACAGCCGUGUACUACUGUGCAAGAGACACAGUGAGGGGAAGUCAGUGUGAGCCCAGACAAAAACCUCCCUGCAUAGGGGCCCGUGCCCACCAGGGGGCGCACAGGUCUCACUACGCGGCAGCACCCCGGAGCAGGUGCAGAAGCAGCCUUGGGCGGUGGGAGGCCUGGGGGGAUUUUCCUAGAGAUUCUCUUUCCUCCUCCUGCCCAGGAGCUGCACCAAGACCCUCUUCUGUGUCCUGGUAUUUCAUUGUUAUGGUUUAAGUCACUCUCAGACAA